UUCAUUUGGCAGCACCAUAACACUAAAAAUGCAUCUCAGGAAGCAGUGAUAAAAAGAGUUUGAGAAACGUUGAAAUAUCCGAGAGAUCCCCGUGGUGGAUCUGAAGCAUGAAGGAUAGAAUUCCAAUUGGAAAUCCAUACGGAGUAAAGCGUAGACAGUUGCAGAAGACGGUGAUACAGCUUUGAAAGUGACAGAUCGAGCACAAGAAGGAAAAGAGAAACCAAUAAGAGCAAAAAGAAUAAAACAGACUACAUAAAUUAGAAUAACAGUGGUGGUGAAUUGAAUGAAGAGAACCAAUGGUGCAGCCAAACUAAGGACUAUGACUAACUUUUAAAAUUUGCAAAUGGGCACAGUACUUGUAGGAUGGAAGAAAGAGGACGAUAACAUGC